rnacentral:miRNA from 1 species
AUGAAAAUCACCUCAGAAUCUCAUUAGAACACAUUCUUACCCAGUAGUUCCAGCAUGAGGCCUGAGAUUCUGCAUUUCUAACAAGCUCCCAGGUGAUACCAAA